rnacentral:rRNA from 1 species
UGGGGAAUAUUGGACAAUGGGGGCAACCCUGAUCCAGCAAUGCCGCGUGUGUGAAGAAGGUCUUCGGAUUGUAAAGCACUUUCGACGGGGACGAUGAUGACGGUACCCGUAGAAGAAGCCCCGGCUAACUUCGUGCCAGCAGCCGCGGUAAUAAGAAGGGGGCUGAGCGUUGCUCGGAAUGACUGGGCGUAAAGGGCGUGUAGGCGGUUUACACAGUCAGAUGUGAAAUCCCCGGGCUUAACCUGGGAG